CUAUAGAAUCAGUGGGAUGGGUGACACAGGACUGUAGCUGGCUACUUUGAGAAGUGUUGGUGGGCUCUGGAUUGCUGGGGUGGUCCUUGGCUGACCAGUAAUGGCCAGGCAACUUAGAAAGAGGUCUAGGUCCCACUGCAGGUACGGAGGUGCACAGUCUCAGAGUUGGAAGGCCAUGCCAUCUUUGGGGUGACAGAGUUGCAGGGGCCAUGAGACCAGUCUGACAUUGGGGGACAUCUUCAUGGGGAGGACAAACAUGAGCCCCUGGACACAGGGAUCCCCUCCCCCCUGUGCUCCUCAACAACGCCUGGAUGUACAGGUCGCAAGCUCUGGUCACUUUAUUACCUUACCACAUCGAGCUCUCAGCCUUUGGGUCCUCUUGAGGUGAUGUGGAAGCCUGAGGUCAGGAGCAGGAUACUGCUGCGAUGGUGGCCCAGCUGGACAGUGAAUUCUGAUCCUCAUAGAGCCAGACAAUCUUGGCUUGUAAUUCAAUGUCAUUGCAAUGACCCAGUUCCAGCUGGGCAAAGCCUAUCCCUCCCUCAACCUCUGCUCCCAGAGGAUAGAUCCUCAGGGCAGCAGGAGACCCUUGGGGAAGAAACCUAAUGCAUUCCUGUCCCUGUGGACACAGUAACACACACAAUGCAGAUGCUCCUUCGCCAAACCUACCUCCCAUCAUGUAUCACCUCUUGCCUGACUACUGGGGAGAGUUCCCUAAACUUGUUGGUGAGUCAGCUCUCAGAAUUUCUUGUCCCUUAUCCUGGGGCCUAACACACACACACACACACACACACACACACACACACACACACACACACACUUCCAUUGGUCCCUCCCUUCCUGGUUUUCUUCCUGGGCCUGUCUGCAUGUUUGUAUAGUGAUUCAGCUGUGUGUUAUGUCCUCUAGGUGCUGUGGGAGACCUGCCCCACCCUUGGGAGUCCAAAUUGCUUCUUUCUUUCCUUCUUUCCUUCUUUCCUUCUUUCCUUCUUUCCUUCUUUCCUUCUUUCCUUCUUUCCUUCUUUCCUUCUUUCCUUCUUUCCUUCCUUCCUUCCUUCCUUCCUUCCUCUCUUCUUCUUCUUCUUCCUCUUUUUCUUUCCUUCUCCUUUUUCUUCCCCUCUCUCUAUCUCUGUCUCUCUUCCUCUCUCUCCCCCAACUCUCUGUUUCUUUGUCUCUGUCUCUCUCUCUCUCUCUCUCGUGCCCAGGUUCUUGUGCAUGUGUCUAUGUGAGACCUUGAGUGCCAUUCCUCAGGUUCUGUCUACCUUGUUUUGGAGACAGGGCCUCUCACUGACCUGGAGUUGGUGAGCCACAAGGAUCCGCCUGCCCCACUUCCCCAGUACUGGCAUUAGAAAGGCACCAUCUUGACUGCUCAGCUGGACCAUGGGGUUGAACUCACCUGCACACAUUCCCAGCUGUGAGCAUCAUGAAAGAGGUCAACUGAACACGAGAUGCGGCUCAUUACACCAUGGACUUGCAUUGGUGAUACUGAAGCAUUCUGUGACUUGAGGUACCACUAAGAAGAACAAAAGCCUGAUGGUAGACUCUAGGAUGCCAUGGUCACCAAAGCAUGUUUUGACCUCAGCUCUGCUGCCAUGGGAACUGAUGUGGCCAUCACCAGGGGAGCGAACGCCUACAGCGCAUAGUCAUCUGAGGGGCUGUGAAGAAGACCAGCCAAUCUGCUUCAUGUGACUCCUAAAGCCAGGAACAGGAUUAGUGGUGUGGGUUUUGGGGCCACAGCAGCUCAAGGGAGCAAACUCUAUAGGAUCCAUUACGGUGGGCUUAUAAAUGAGCCCCAGAAUGCUGACAUUAGGCUCAGUACGGUCCAAAGAAUUACCCCUUCUUCAUCUAUAGAGAUGACCUACACUAAGGCAGGCAGGUAGAGCAGCUGCCUGCAAAGUCCUACUCAGCUUCAAGUCCCCCAGCUGAGAACUGAAAAGGGAGCUGCCCUGGGCAUCCUUUGUCCUGUUCCUGCCUGGUAAUUGACAUAGUGAAUGGUCGCUAAUGAAGAACGGAGUGGGACUUCCUGGGAAGUGACUGCAGACAGCCAGAAAGACAACUGCUAAUUACCAGUGCCAGCUGGUGGCCCUGGAGGACCAUGCAGACAGAAAAGAUGAGGGCUGGGAGGACCAGGCAGAGAGAAACUUCAGGAAAGCUGCUUUUGCUAGGGCCCUCUGCACCCAAGCACUGACUUACUCCAUGGAUGACGAAUCAAGAGGUCAAGACCAACACCAGCCAUGCUCUCUUUCCUGGUCAAGCCCGAGGAGGAGGUAUUAAACCACCAUCAUAAAUCUGCUAGUGUCCUCCAACUGACCUUGGCUGUUAGACUGGGCAGGCUUUCUUCAGUCUCAGACCCCAGCACUGAUUGCCCUUUCUGUUGCUCAUCCCCAGCUCUGACCCUGCCUGCACUGUUGGCAUUUUGAUUCAGCAACCCCUGGGAUAUGAUGUAGGGAGCAGCCCCUAACCCCUCACUGGCUCUGCGUGCGUGAAGCAGGACACCAGGAGCUUACCCCAUGGUCCUCACUUACACCAUGAUGAAGGGAACGGGAUCACGUUGAAGGGGGAGCUGUCUUAGUGAGACAUGUGAACAACGUGGCCAGUCGUUAGGCAUUCCAAAAGCCUGGUAAAGGGCAGACUGCCUCUCUGCGGGGCACUGGAGUGAAUGUCUGGUAGCUGCCUUCUUGGGUGUUUCUGCCUCAUAACUCAUCCUCCUGUAGUCUGGCGCGGUCUCUCCCCACACUGAGCAGGUCUCAGUUUCUCACACACCUGGUGCCCCGAGCGUCACACCUGUUCUUCCUCAGAUCUGUCUCCUCAUGAAUCCCUCCUCUCCCUCACCUCUGGGUCACACUGUGGGGUGUGGUCCUUCAGGGUCAAGGCCCCUGAUGGAUUGGGAUUCUGACCAGACAUACCUCUCCUAGCUACACUUGUUGUGAGCGACCCAGGACCUCCUUUCUUUCUUCCGUCUUUCCCCUCCUUCAUCUGGGCCCUGCCACUCACAGGGGUGAGCUGCUGGAGGGCAGGGAAGACUUCCGUUGUCAGAGUGGCUUGCCUGAAUCCCAGCUGCCCCUUAAUCUUAAAGAUGCUGAAAUCCUCGGCUGAAAUGGUAGCAGGAGAGCUCUGAGACUAACUCCCUUUCGCCUAUAUUGUGUGCUGGGACCAUACAAACUGACAGGUAGUAGAGCUUUGGUGGUUGGCAGUACUGGAGGCAAACAACCUACAACCCAGGGGUGGGCAGCUGGCUCUGCCUGCUGGUACUCCCUGCCCCCUUGGUAGUCUCUGCCCUGUUCCCACACAGACUUCUUGCAUGUAUCUCUCUCCAUCCUUCUUCUUUAUAGGAGAACACUAGCCAUGUGUUAAGGACUCCUUAACCCCGUGUGGCCCCACCUUAGCUAAUCUCACAGACUCUCUGUCAUACACGUUCUGGAUGUGUCUGGUGAAGGAUGCAUGCAGCCCAGCGUCCACCAUGAUGGCCUCUUAGAAUCUCAAGGUGAAGGCAUGGAACCUUCUUAUGGAAGAGAUGGGAAAUGGCUGUUCCUCCUUUUCCUUUAGAUCUUGCCCUGUGACCUGAGCCGCUUUCUCCCUGAUCCCCAUGGCUAGAUAGAUGCUGUCCUCACAGCAGAAGCCUGCUCUGCCCACCAGAGUCUAAGCAUCUGAGACACUGGAUCCUCUCCUUACCUGCAGAGAGGAGAAUGGAGCAGAAUCAAGACCCCUGAAGCCAGCACAUUCUGUGUGGCAGCUAGCCUUCCCCCCAUAAGCACGAGCAGGGCUCUGAUCCCAGAGAGACAUCACCCAUGUGCAUGUCUGCACACAUGCACACACGGUGCUCCGUGUAGCCCCGCGCUGAGUCUUCCUGCUUCGCCUCUGAGGCAGCUGAAGACUGAGGAAAGGAAAUGAGAUGGGGAAUCGCUUCUCGGGCAAUUACCCACACCUCGUAUAGUCUAAUGAGCCGUUGAGGGGCCCGGAUGGAACAUUUAGGGGGGUUAUUGAAUGUUUCCUCACAGUUUACCCAGUUCCAGGAGUUAAUUGAUUUAUGGACUGCAGGAGCAUGCGUGUCUCCGAAUAUGAGUGGGUGCCUUUUGGAUCUCUCUCUCUCUCUCUCUCUCUCUCUCUCCCUCCCCCCCCCCUCUCUCUCUCUCUCUCUCUCUCUGUGUGUGUGUGUGUGUGUGUGUGUGUGUGUGUGUGUGUGUGUGAAUUCGGGGCAUUCUGGCUAGAGGCCUGAGCUCCCUAGCUUUGGCAUCAGGCCUCCACAGCAUCUGCCUGCAUUUGCUGAGGAGAGGCCACGGAGGACGUGGCUGCACACCAAGGCAUGGGUCUGCAACCAUGCAUGCUCUCGGGACCAGGAUUCCCCUUACUGUUCCCAAAAUCCAGUUCAUCUUACCCACUCAGAUUUGUGCUAUACCUAGCACGAUAUUUUUAACUAACCUUACAUUUUUUUCUUUCAUUAGUUGUUUUAAAGCUACUACAAAAUGCUAUUGUGAAAUUGUUAUGUUUGAUAUGAUUGCUGCUCUCUUUUUCCCUUUCUUUCUGUUGAAAACAUUAUAUUUAAGUGCGUGUGGGGGGGGGGGAAGAGAGCUAGAGAGAGAGAGCUAGAGAGAGAGAGAGAGGGAGAGGGAGAGAGAGAUCAGAGACAACUUGGGAGAGUUGCUUUUCUCCUUCCACCAUGUAGGUUCCAAGGAUGGAAGUCAGCGCUUCAGUCUUGUAGCAAGUGCUCUUAGCAGCUGAGCUCUCUUAUCACCCUGCGUUCUUUUCCUGUUUGUUUUGAGACAGGAUCUCUCUUUGUUGCCCAGGCUGUCCUUCCUUUGUUGCCCAAUGGCUUCCUCUACAUUUUCCUAAUAAACAUUAAAAUA
rnacentral:lncRNA from 1 species